CUGGAACCUGAAACACAGGGCCCCAGAGAGAUGUGACACCUCCAACCCAAUCCCUCACCUUUCACGAUAGGCAACAGGAAAUUGAAGAGGCCAGUAAAAAGGAGACUCGAUUCAGACAGACCUGAGUUCAAAUGCCACCCUACUUGCUGAUACUUGUUUCAGGUGAACGAGUGGGUACUACCCUUCACUGUGGGACUGCUGUGAGGGACAGGGCCUGUCAUCCCUUAGAGAUGACAGGCCCUUACCUGGCACAGUGCCACCCAGCAAAUACGAGGUGCCCCCUGGACCUCGGGUGCCGGCCUCUGCACUACUCUUGGGCUCCUUCCUGCCUCUGCUCCCAAACAGGGAGGCAGGUUCAACUUGAGUGUGAGAGAAACGUCCUGUGCCCACCACCAGAGGACUGGCCAGGCAUCAGCAGCAACAAUGUGGACUUGGCUAUGGUUGGAUCUUAUGAGACCACUCGCUGGGCAAGGAAGACUUCAUUUUCCCCACUUGUCGGGAAACACCAGCUCCUCUGCCGCCACGUAUGAGAAGAGCACAGGCUCCGGAUGCGCAGGCCCAGCGGCCAUGGCUCACGGACCCAGCCACUCCGCGGCAUGUGGGAUCCUCCCAGACUGGGGCACGAACCCGUGUCCCCUGCAUCGGCAGGUGGACUCUCAAGCACUGCGCCACCAGGGAAGCCCUGAUUCAUAAUUUUUAAAGGUUAUACUCCAUUUAUAGUUAUUAUAAAAUAUUGGCUAUAUUCCCUUUGUUGUACAAUAUAUCCUUGUAGUUUAUUUUAUA